rnacentral:rRNA from 1 species
GUGGGGAAUAUUGGACAAUGGGCGCAAGCCUGAUCCAGCCAUACCGCGUGGGUGAAGAAGGCCUUCGGGUUGUAAAGCCCUUUUGUUGGGAAAGAAAUCCUGUCGAUUAAUACUCGGUGGGGAUGACGGUACCCAAAGAAUAAGCACCGGCUAACUUCGUGCCAGCAGCCGCGGUAAUACGAAGGGUGCAAGCGUUACUCGGAAUUACUGGGCGUAAAGCGUGCGUAGGUGGUGGUUUAAGUCUGCUGUGAAAGCCCUGGGCUCAACCUGGGAAUUGCAGUGGAUACUGGGUCACUAGAGUGUGGUAGAGGGAUGCGGAAUUUCUGGUGUAGCAGUGAAAUGCGUAGAGAUCAGAAGGAACAUCCGUGGCGAAGGCGGCAUCCUGGGCCAACACUGACACUGAGGCACGAAAGCGUGGGGAGCAAACAGGAUUAGAAACCCUAGUAGUCC